CCUAAAAUAAAAUUGAAAGCGUGAAAGGGACACAAAUGAAGUGUAAGAAAGUGUUAGGUUAGCCAGGAGGAGGGGAGGUGGGAACAGGAUGUCUCUAGGAACACUAGGAAGGUCCCUUCUUUCUUGUUUGUGGCUAUUUCCUCAGAGCCUAGCUGGUGCUUUGUCCCAGUCAGGUGCUCAGUGCAUAUGCAUUUGUUAAUAAGUGGGUAUUCAGGGACGGGUGGGGCUUCAGCUGAAAAUGCAGUGCUAGAGCACAGAGAUGGAGGAGGAAAUGACUUGUUGGGACAAGGCGGCUCAGGGUGUGUGGGGCAGAGGAGGAGCUGUGUGUUGGCGGAGGUCUUGGCAGAGCUUUGACCAGCUCCCUGUGAAUUUUGAUUUGGGUAGCUCUUAACCUCUUUUUGUGCCAGUGCUCAUUAGGAAUUGCAUGGAAGCUAUGGGGUCUUUCUUCCUAGGGGAAAAAAUCAUAACAGCAUGUGAUUUGGUACACACCAUCAGAGGAUUCACAGGUCUCGAGUUAUAAAACCCUGCUGUAGGCCGGGUGAGCUCAUCAGAGAGCGGUAAAACACUUUUCCCCCUGCCUCCUGGAGUCUUCGGGAAUUGACUGAGUGUACUCUGUCGGCAUUCUGGGUUUGGAGGGCGCUGAUAAGCAGCUGUACAAUGGUGGUCCCCAUGAG
rnacentral:lncRNA from 1 species